rnacentral:rRNA from 1 species
UUAUUGUCAACUAUUUAUCAACUUACACAUGCAAGUCUCAGCAUCCCUGUGAGAACGCCCUUUUACCUCAUCAAGGAAAAGGAGCUGGUAUCAGGCACAGUAUCUCGCCCACAACACCUAGCUUUGCCACACCCCCAAGGGUACUCAGCAGUGAUUAACAUUGAUUAUGAGCGCCAGCUCGACUCAGUUAGAUAAAAUAGAGCCGGCUAAUCCGGUGCCAGCCGCCGCGGCUACACCAUCAGGCCCAAGCUGACAAUCAUUCGGCGUUAAGCGUGUUUAAAGUGUUUCCCCCCUAUUAAAAUUAAACUUAAACCAAGUCGUGGCACACUUGUUUAUAAAAAAGCCUCCAACGAAAGUUAUUCUAACCAAACCACUUGAAUCCACGACAGCUAGGAAACAAACUGGGAUUAAGUACCCCACUAUGCCUAACCGUAAAAUAUUUACUUACACCAAACCCGCCGGGGAAUUACUAGCUCUAGCUUAAAACCCAAAGGACUUGACGGUGUCCCACCCAUCUAGAGGAGCCUGUUCUAUAA